CACGUAGGCACCAAGCGUUGUCCGGAUUUAUUGGGCGUAAAGAGCUCGUAGGCGGUUCAGUAAGUCGGAUGUGAAAACUCUGGGCUCAACCCAGAGACGCCACCCGAUACUGCUGUGACUUGAGUACGGUAGGGGAGUGGGGAAUUCCUGGUGUAGCGGUGAAAUGCGCAGAUAUCAGGAGGAAGACCGGUGGCGAAGGCGGCCUGCUGGGCAGUUACUGACACUGAGGCGCGACAGCGUGGGGAGCAAACAGG
rnacentral:rRNA from 1 species